rnacentral:rRNA from 1 species
CCUACGGGAGGCAGCAGUAGGGAAUCUUCCACAAUGGACGAAAGUCUGAUGGAGCAACGCCGCGUGAGUGAUGAAGGUUUUCGGAUCGUAAAACUCUGUUGUAAGGGAAGAACAAGUACGAGAGGGAAUGCUCGUACCUUGACGGUACCUUGCGAGAAAGCCACGGCUAACUACGUGCCAGCAGCCGCGGUAAUACGUAGGUGGCAAGCGUUGUCCGGAAUUAUUGGGCGUAAAGCGCGCGCAGGCGGCCUUUUAAGUCUGAUGUGAAAGCCCCCGGCUCAACCGGGGAGGGUCAUUGGAAACUGGAAGGCUUGAGUACAGAAGAGAAGAGUGGAAUUCCAUGUGUAGCGGUGAAAUGCGUAGAGAUGUGGAGGAACACCAGUGGCGAAGGCGACUCUUUGGUCUGUAACUGACGCUGAGGCGCGAAAAGCGUGGGGAGCAAACAGGAUUAGAUACCCUGGUAGUCCACGCCGUAAACGAUGAGUGCUAGGUGUUGGGGGGUUUCCGCCCCUCAGUGCUGAGACUAACGACAUAAGACACUCCGCCGUCGGGGAGGUACGGCCGGCGACGGCGNGAACGUACAAAUAGAAGUUAGUACGGCGUGAGACGUGACCGACGGACGACGACGAGGGAGGAGG